CCUGUGUGAUGGUGCGGUGCUGAAUGCUGCUAAUGUGUAUGUGUUUGCCUCAUGUGUGCUCGUGUGUCCUUGUGUGCCCUUGUGUGUCUCGCCUCCGUGAAGGGAACGAGUGCAGGUACUGAUGGAAUAAUGGAAGUGUGAGAAGCUGUAGAGUGAUGGACAAGCAACACAAGCAGACCACAAAUUUAUCAGAGGCAACAGGAAAAGCCACCGAUCCUUCUAGUACAGGUGUGAUCUUCUCCGGGCUUCAGGUGUGACCGCCAGGAUAUCCUGGGCCUACAGCACGAUGCCUCACCUGCGCCACAAUGGGAGGAACUAUGCAGGAUAAGCCUCAAUACCGCUGCACUCGUGGGGCUAAUGAUGUCUAUUGCUGGUGUUAUGAAAAGUACCGUAGCUGUGUACAUACGUGGUUUCAAUACUGCAGGGAGUGUUAACCUGUUCAUUAGUGUGACGCAUUUUUACUUGAGUUUUCGGUGUGAUUAGAUGAUUUUUUUGACGUCAGGAAGGGUCUAUGGAGGACAGGAGAUUAAUGGCCAGAGCCUUCACUGUUUUAAUCCCACACAUGAGUUUCUGAAUCUGUAUAAAAUCACUAAAUAUGAAAACGUGUUAUGGUACUGAAGGGGUUAACAUGUGGAGACUGUUAUUUUGGGUUAUUUGCUUAUUUUUGUGUUUUGUGGAACUUUUUUCUUUUUUCCUCCAUUUUUUGUUAGUUUAUUGUUUUCUUUGAUACGUGUUUAGUCUUUUAGUUUUGUGUGUGUUUCGUAAAUACAUCUUAGUUUUUGUAGAUAUUAUAUUGUAUGUGGUGCUUUUGUCUUUUUUUGACAUAUGUAUUUUUUUACGACAGUUCAUUGUGGAGUUCAUAGUUUUUUUUCUACUUUUCUCCUCAUUGUGUCACUUAAAUGCACGCUAUAACCUGACGGGAAGUGUGUCGUAGUGCAUAAUUGUUGUUUUUUAGACCAGGAAGCUACUGUAUCGAAUAUGUAU